GGGCGGUUAGCUCAGAUGGUAGAGCAUCUGGUUUACACCCAGAGGGUCGGCAGUUCGAUCCUGUCACCGCCCACCA
rnacentral:tRNA from 1 species